GUUGCUGCUGCUGCUGCUGCUGCUGCUGCUGCACAGCAGCAGCAGCAGCAGCAGCUAGCCAGGAGUGGGUGACUAUCAUCACU